rnacentral:tRNA from 1 species
GCGGCUAUAGCUCAGUGGUAGAGCGCCUGCUUGCCAAGCAGGAGGUCGAGGGUUCGAAUCCCUCUAGCCGCUCCA